rnacentral:rRNA from 1 species
CCUACGGGGGGCAGCAGUGAGGAAUAUUGGUCAAUGGCCGAGAGGCUGAACCAGCCAAGUCGCGUGAGGGAAGAAGGUCCUAAGGAUUGUAAACCUCUUUUGUCAGGGAACAAAGUCAGUCACGUGUGCCUGUUCGAGAGUACCUGAAGAAAAAGCAUCGGCUAACUCCGUGCCAGCAGCCGCGGUAAUACGGAGGAUGCGAGCGUUAUCCGGAUUUAUUGGGUUUAAAGGGUGCGUAGGCGGGGUGUCAAGUCAGCGGUAAAAGCGCGGGGCUCAACCCCGGCCAGCCGUUGAAACUGGCGGUCUUGAGUGGGCGAGAAGUAUGCGGAAUGCGUGGUGUAGCGGUGAAAUGCAUAGAUAUCACGCAGAACUCCGAUUGCGAAGGCAGCAUACCGGCGCCCAACUGACGCUGAGGCACGAAAGCGUGGGUAUCGAACAGGAUUAGAUACCCUAGUAGUC